AUAUUAUAUUCCAUCUUCCUCUCCUUUCUUCACUGCAUCCUUCGCCUGAUGGUGGAUUUACCAUCGUUUUUGUCGACUGUCAAUCGAUCACAAUAAGCCCACCGUUUGUGAUACUCAUUUUUGGCAUAUCCGGAGAUUUCGUCUUCAUGGAGAUAAAUUCAGGGGGUUUGUACUUCCUGACGUCUGGUAGGGUCGGAGGCUUCAUUAGAGGAAGCAUUGGAGUGAUCUUAUGGGCCACUGUGUCUAAAUGGCGUCGCUUGGGAGGAACACACUUCUGCUGCUGCGUUACACUUUUCAGAUCACCAUUCACACUCUAUGGCGAGAAAGGAAUACUCGAAGACAUGGAGAGGAGGAACCUAUCAC